AUGCUCUGGCUCUCACUUGGAUUUUCCCAGAAGUUUCUGCGUAGACCACUUGAGCUCAGGCUGUUUGCAGCAAGGCUGAGUUCUGAUAGGAAGGGUUGCAGGGGGGUAUGGCCCUCGAGCAGGCUCACCGCGUUGGACAUCUUUGGUCUAAGUGUCGGUGCUGCGUUGGUGCAUAAGAGAGCCACAUUCAGCAUGAGGAACCCCUUGCUAUUCCCAGGCAAAUCUUACGUCUCGUUGGCCAAUCCAAUGCCAGUCUAUAUUCUUCAACUGGAUCGCACAAUACAAAUUAUUCAUGAGUUCUAA
rnacentral:rRNA from 1 species